rnacentral:tRNA from 1 species
GUGGUGGCUCAGUGGUAGAACACUUGCCUAGCAUGUGUGAGGCCCUGGGUUCGAUUCUCAGCACCACA